CUGACAAACUCCGAAUGCCAGUAGUAUGAUUUACAGCAGUGAGCGACCGGGUGCUAAUGUCCGGUUACGAGAGUGGAACAACACAGACCAGCAACUAAGGUCCCCAAGAGUAUACUAAGUUGAUCUAACGAUGUUUUGCUGCAGAGACAGCUAGGAUGUUAGCUUGGAAGCAGCUAUUCAUUCAAAGAGUGCGUAACAGCUCACUAGUCGAGCGACAGAGCGUGGAUAAUAAACGGGCAUCAAGUAUACCACCGAAGUUCUGGGCACGAAAGUGCGGUAGGGGAGCAUUCCAUUCCGCGUUGAAGCCGAACCGUGAGGUUUGGUGGAGUGUAUGGAAAAGCAAAUGUAGGCAUGAGUAACGAUAAUGCGGGAGAGUAACCCGCACACCGCAAGACCAAGGUUUCCUGAUCAACGCUAAUCGGAUCAGGGUUAGUCGGGUCCUAAGGGUAAGCCGAACGGCGAUCUCGAUGGAUAAUCGGUUAAUAUUCCGAUACUAACAUAUACCUCGAUGGAGAGACGAAGGAACGUAAGUGCCGCCACCUGACGGAAUAGGUGGUUAAAGGGCGUAGGUAUAGGGGCAGAUUAAGAGUUAGUCCUUGCUGAAACCUGACAGUACAGAGAGCCUACGGGCAAUUUGAUAGAGCACCCAAGUCGACUUCCGAGAAAAUCUUCUAAGUUAUAGUAUAUGUUACCCGUACCGUAAACCGACACAGGUGGUCGAGGAGAGUAUCCUAAGGUGCUCGAGUGAAUCACGGUUAAGGAACUAGGCAAAUUAACCCCGUAACUUCGGGAAAAGGGGUCCCUAUGAAAGUAGGGCGCAGCGAAGAGGUCCAGGCGACUGUUUAUCAAAAACACAGGGCUCUGCAAAUUCGAAAGAAGACGUAUAGGGCCUGACACCUGCCCGGUGCUGGAAGGUUAAGAGGGGAUGUCAUCGCAAGAGAAGCAUUGAAUCGAAGCCCCAGUAAACGGCGGCCGUAACUAUAACGGUCCUAAGGUAGCGAAAUUCCUUGUCGGGUAAGUUCCGACCUGCACGAAUGGUGUAACGAUCUGGACACUGUCUCAACCGUGAGCUCGGUGAAAUUGUAGUCCCGGUGAUGAUGCCGGGUACCCGCAACGGGACGAAAAGACCCCGUGAACCUUUACUAUAGCUUAACGCUGAAUUUGGGUACACAAUGUGUAGGAUAGGCAGGAGACUACGAAGCGGGCACGCCAGUGUUCGUGGAGUCGACGUUGAAAUACUGCCCUUUGUGUACUUGAGUUCUAACCCUGCGAGGGGGACACCGUUUGGUGGGUAGUUUGACUGGGGUGGUCGCCUCCAAAAGAGUAACGGAGGCUUCCCAAGGUACCCUCAGCACGAAUGGUAACCGUGCGUAGAGUGCAAUAGCAUAAGGGUGCUUGACUGUGAGACCAACAAGUCGAUCAGGUGCGAAAGCAGGGUAUAGUGAUCCGGUGGUUCUGCGUGGACUGGCCAUCGCU
rnacentral:rRNA from 1 species